ACCACGUGACAUUCUUGGCAGAUAUCUCGGUGACGUCAGCUGUUACUAAAAUUAGACGAAGUUCGCGUCGUAAGCUGUUUUGACCGUCGACAGUUUUGUGUCGUUUUGGACAAAAUGGGACCCAAGAAAUCGGCUAAAAGUAGUAAAAAAUCGAACGCUGGCGAGAAGAAAGAAGAAAAUAAAUCGGAUCAAAAAAGCGAAGACAUCGUAACUUCCGAUGUACCCGCCGACACCCAGUCAGAUGUAACUAGUGGCAAGAAAACAGCAAAGCCUAAGGCAUCCAGAGCAACAAAACGGAAAAGACCCGCAAGCAAGAGCAAGAGUUCUAAAAAGAGGAAGACUUAAUAUGCCAGAGUGAAGGUGAAUAUUCUUAUCGUCGGUUGGAUUUUUGGCAUCGAAUCUCACCAUCUCAUUUCAUUGAUAUUUUUCAUGACUUUUCCUCAUCGUUCAUAUCCAUACCAUUAACAAUCGGUGUGUAGCACUUGAAUAAAGUUAAUUCUUUUUUUUUUUUU